rnacentral:rRNA from 1 species
GGCCUAUUGUAAAAAAUUUUAGGUCUAAUCUGCCCACUGAUAAUUUAAAUGGCCGCGGUAUUUUGACCGUGCAAAGGUAGCAUAAUCAUUAGUUUUUUAAUUGAAAGCUGGAAUGAAUGAUUUGAUAAGAAAAAAGCUGUCUAGUUUAUAAAUUUUGAAUUUUAUUUUUGAGUCAAAAAGCUUAAAUAUAAUUUAAAGACGAGAAGACCCUAUAGAGUUUUAUUUAAUCAAUUAAUUUUUAUUUAGAAUUAAUAUAUGAAUUAAGUAAAUUAAAUUUGGUUGGGGUGAUUAAAAAAUUAAUUAAACUUUUUUUUAUUUUAAACAGUAAUUUCUGAUUAAUUGAUCCAUUAUUAUUGAUUAUAAGAUUAAAUUACCUUAGGGAUAACAGCGUAAUUUUUUUUGAGAGUUCAUAUUGAAAGAAAAGAUUGCGACCUCGAUGUUGGAUUAAAAUUUAUUUUUGGUGCAGAAGCUAAAAAAUUAAGUCUGUUCGACUUUUAUAAUUUUACA